rnacentral:rRNA from 1 species
CCUACGGGAGGCAGCAGUGGGGAAUUGUUCGCAAUGGGCGCAAGCCUGACGACGCAACGCCGCGUGGAGGAUGAAGGUCUUCGGAUUGUAAACUCCUGUCGAACGGGACGAACACCUUUCCGGUUAAUACCUGGAGAGGCUGACGGUACCGUGAGAGGAAGCCCCGGCUAACUCUGUGCCAGCAGCCGCGGUAAUACAGAGGGGGCAAGCGUUGUUCGGAAUUACUGGGCGUAAAGGGCGCGUAGGCGGCCUUCUAAGUCAGACGUGAAAUCCCUCGGCUCAACCGGGGAACUGCGUCUGAGACUGGAAGGCUUGAAUCCGGGAGAGGGAUGUGGAAUUCCAGGUGUAGCGGUGAAAUGCGUAGAUAUCUGGAGGAACACCGGUGGCGAAGGCGGCAUCCUGGACCGGCAUUGACGCUGAGGCGCGAAAGCCAGGGGAGC